GUGUCAGCAGCCGCGGUAAUACGGAGGAUGCAAGCGUUAUCCGGAAUUAUUGGGCGUAAAGCGUCCGCAGGUGGAAUUUCAAGUCGGCUGUCAAAGGCCGUAGCUUAACUACGGUAAGGCAGUGGAAACUGAAAGACUAGAGGCCAGUAGGGGUAGCAGGAAUUCCCAGUGUAGCGGUGAAAUGCGUAGAGAUUGGGAAGAACAUCGGUGGCGAAAGCGUGCUACUGGACUGGAACUGACACUGAGGGACGAAAGCUAGGGGAGCGAAAGGGAUUAGAUACCCCUGUAGUCC
rnacentral:rRNA from 1 species